rnacentral:rRNA from 1 species
AUUGAACGCUGGCGGCAUGCUUUACACAUGCAAGUCGAACGGUAACAGGUUAAGCUGACGAGUGGCGAACGGGUGAGUAAUGCAUCGGAACGUGCCCGAUCGUGGGGGAUAACACUUCGAAAGAAGUGCUAAUACCGCAUACGAUCUGAGGAUGAAAGCGGGGGACCAUAAGGCCUCGCGCGAUCGGAGCGGCCGAUGUCAGAUUAGGUAGUUGGUGGGGUAAAGGCUCACCAAGCUGACGAUCUGUAGCUGGUCUGAGAGGACGACCAGCCACACUGGGACUGAGACACGGCCCAGACUCCUACGGGAGGCAGCAGUGGGGAAUUUUGGACAAUGGGCGCAAGCCUGAUGCAGCCAUGCCGCGUGUAUGAAGAAGGCCUUCGGGUUGUAAAGUACUUUCAGUCAGGAGGAAGGGUGUGAAAUUAAUACUUUCAUGCAUUGACGUUACUGACAGAAGAAGCACCGGCUAACUCCGUGCCAGCCGCCGCCGUAACAC